AAAUAACACUGCUGCAAAACCUCUCAUUAACAGCAAUCAGCACUCCACCACCACUAGACUUAUCAGAAUUGGUUGAAGAUCUAUCGCAACGAAUGCGUAAACAUCAAAAUCACGUUCCAGUGCAGACAUAAAAACAGUUUCCAGCCGGGCACUACUUCGGAUGCUAUUCACAUUUUGCUGGAUCAUGCACGCAAGAAUUAAACCUUUCUGGACUAGCAACACUACGUGACGAGGGUAAAG